rnacentral:rRNA from 1 species
GACGAACGCUGGCGGCGUGCUUAACACAUGCAAGUCGAACGGAAAGGCCCUGCUUUUGUGGGGCGCUCGAGUGGCGAACGGGUGAGUAACACGUGAGUAACCUGCCCUUGACUUUGGGAUAACUUCAGGAAACAGGGGCUAAUACCGGAUAGGAGCUCUUGCUGCAUGGUGGGGGAUGGAAAGUUUCGGUGGUUGUGGAUGGUUUCGCGGCUUACCGGCUUGUUGGUGGGGUAGUGGCUUACCAAGGUUUUGACGGGUAGCCGGCCUGGGAGGGGGACCGGGCUCAUGGGUACUACGGGACGCCCCAGACGGCAACGGGAGGCAGCGGUGGGAAGUAUUACGCAGUGGGGGGAAGCCUGAGACGGCAGCGCCGCGUUCGGAAUAACGUCCUACGAGUGGUAAACCGCUUUCGCCUGUGACGAGGCGUGAGUGACGGUAAUUGAUAAAGAAGCACCGGCUAACUACGUG